AUGAACGCUAGCGGCAGGCUUAACACAUGCAAGUCGAGGGGUAUAUGUCUUCGGAUAUAGAGACCGGCGCACGGGUGCGUAACGCGUAUGCAAUCUACCUUUCACAGAGGGAUAGCCCAGAGAAAUUUGGAUUAAUACCUCAUAGUAUUAUUGAGUGGCAUCACUUAAUAAUUAAAGUCACAACGGUGAAAGAUGAGCAUGCGUCCCAUUAGCUAGUUGGUAAGGUAACGGCUUACCAAGGCAACGAUGGGUAGGGGUCCUGAGAGGGAGAUCCCCCACACUGGUACUGAGACACGGACCAGACUCCUACGGGAGGCAGCAGUGAGGAAUAUUGGACAAUGGGCGCAAGCCUGAUCCAGCCAUGCCGCGUGCAGGAUGACGGUCCUAUGGAUUGUAAACUGCUUUUGUACGAGAAGAAACACUGCUUCGUGAAGCAGCUUGACGGUAUCGUAAGAAUAAGGAUCGGCUAACUCCGU
rnacentral:rRNA from 1 species